AAUAAACAAGAUCCAGAUAUAAUGUUCAUGCUCAACGCACGCACUAAAUAACAAUGAUUUAAGUUCAUCACUAAUCCCGAUGGUAGUUGAAGUGACACUGUGCCGACGGCGAUUGCAUCAACCUUGGAACCGUUUCCUACGCGCAUCGUCACUUCGUCUUUCGCCAGCCUUCGUCUAUUCCGCAGUUCCUGAUUUUUCUUUGCCCGCCUUCUUAUCUGCCAGAUACUUGGGGCAAUUGCGCUUCCAGUGACCCAUACCCUUGCAAUAGAAGCACUCUGUUUCAGGCUUAGGUCCAGCCUUGGGUUUCUUCGGCGGAUUGGCAACAGGCUUGCCGCUCUUCUUCGAAUUGCCCUUCUUGCCUUUGCCGUUUCUCUUGAAACUAGUGGUCUUGCUCACCAUCAACACUUGAUGCUCUUUACGGAGUUCAGACUCUGCG
rnacentral:lncRNA from 1 species